CUUUUGUACAGAAGAAUAUAAUCAACACUUGCUGUUGAGUUGGGUGAAGACCGAAGACGAAGAAGGUCGACAAGGUUCAAGAGUUUGGUACUUUGGUAUAGGUGCAAAAAUAAUUUCAAUUGGGCAGUCUCCGCAAUUUACGAAUAACCACUGUAAUCUUAUCAAAACCUUUUUGCUUUAUCCUUUUGUUCCGCAUGCCCUUCAAUGCCUUGUCGACUCUCUGUCGAAGGAAGGGAUAUCCCAGUCCUUCCCGGGUAAAUCUCAACCACUGCCGACCUCACUCUUCCACAUCGCGUGUCUCCAGUUGAUUGGGCUCCAUCCAAUUACAUCGGCGAAUUUAUGUCCGAUCUUCUCUAAACUGUAUUAUACUUGGGAAAUCCUAUAGCGGAUCUCUUGUUAUUACUCCCUGCUAUAGGUGGAGAUCCUAUGGUGUAAAAUCUAGAGAGAAAGUGCAGUCGGCUUUUCGUUGUUAGGGUUAAGGGUUAGAGAUUUUUUUUUUUUUUUUGUUUCUCCAGGUUGAUCCUCCUAAACAAACGAGCAGACAAGAUGGAAGGCGAGGCUGGCGAGUUUCAAGACUGGGAGGUGCUCCACAACUCGGAGACUGUACUCGUUAACCCGGACGGUGCUGGUCUGAUUGAUUCGACCGAGUCGGAUGAGAUUCUGAGGAAUUUUGAGGGAAUCGAGGGUGACUCGGGGGCAUGAUCAGGUCCGAUUACUUCUCCCUUGAGAAUCAGGAGAGGUAUGCCAAGAACGCUUCAGAGGUUGAUUCAAGCGAGGUUGAGUCGGACAAUCCGAGUUGGAUUGAUCCCGGUUCUGAGACACGAUACGCGAUUAAAAACUCUGGCGAGUUCUGGUCUGAUUCGAGCAGCGAUCGUUCCGAUGAACGUAAGCUUGGUGAUUUCGAUGCUAAACAUGAACUGGGCUUCGCAGAAACUGCGAAAAGCCAAGUGGGUUUAGAAGGAAUUGGAGAAAUGAAAGCCAAGAAUGAAAACUCGGGUAAGUUGGGCACCGAUGAGAGUAAAUUUAAUAACUUUGAUGUGAAACAUGAAUUGGGUUCAGCGGAAAACAUCAAACCCCAACGGGGUUUUGAAGAAUUCGGAGAAAUUCAAACCCAGGAUAAGUAUUCUAGCAACUUCUGGUCGGAUUCUGGGGGAGACGCUUUGGUGUCGAUAAAAUUCGGGGAUGAUAGUGAGGAUAAACGAGACGAGUCGGAGAUUUCGGGUGAUCUGGGCGGUGGACAUAGCUCGAUCGAGAACAAAGCUGAUGCGGUUGCAGAAAUAAAAUCGGACGCGAAAUUGAGCGGUGAGGGAGAGAGGAGGAGGAUAGUUUGGUGGAAGGUUCCUCUUGAGAUCUUGAAGUAUUAUGCUUUUAGAGUUAGCCCCGUCUGGUCCUUCUCCGUGGCGGCAGCUGUGAUGGGGUUCGUGUUCUUGGGACGGAGACUGUAUAAGAUGAAGAGGAAGAGCCAGACCUUGCAGCUGAAGGUCACUGUUGAUGAUAAGGUCAGUUUUUGCAUAUAUUUGACUCUUUUUUAUUGUUAUUGUGGUGACUUUUUAUCGGCACAAGAAAUUGAAGUGCCAACGCUUCGAAAUCAUUGGAAACUAUUCAAGCAUCUUUUGGUUGGUUAAUUUUCUUGCCACUGAGAGUUCUCGUGUAGUUAGACAUCUUAAACCUCUGGUUCUCAAUGUCGAACUCUGGGAGAACUUUUAUUGGCCGUGAUCGACUUGUAGUCUGGGGUGAGAAAUAGGCAAAAGUUGAAUUGAAGUUGUGGAUCAAACAAGCAUUCGUGUUGUUUUAAGGAUAUUUUAAAGCUUAGUUUGUGUACAGAUAUUGCGGGGCUCUUGAUGUUGUUUAACGGAUAUGAUUUAGUUCCUGUUCAGAUGUGUAGAGAUAGGUUUUCAUAAUAUGGACACUUGAUAAGACGAUGAGACUUAUAUCCACGAUCCUUGUUUGCCGGCUGUGUACCAUUAUGUCCUUGAUUGGGGGGGGGUGGUGGUUUGGGUUUGGCCACUUAAGGGCGCUUCCCACUUUCAAGGACCCUUUCACCUCCUCCAUUGCCCUUUUUGCGUAGAAAGAAAAAAAGGAUGUGUUUAGUUUUUUUAACAAAUAUAUUGGGCUCACAUGCACUUGGGCUGUAUAGUUUGGAGCGUAAUGUAUGUCAGCACCUCCAAAAGAAAUGGAGGACUUCAUUUAGCGACUCCGCAUCGCCCUCUGAAUGAUCAGAAUAAAGUAAACCUUAAAGAUAAGUUUCGUAGCCUAUUAAUUUCUCAUUCCCUCUAGUUGGGUGGACACUGGCUGGUCUUUUGUCCAGAUCCCUCUAAAAACCAUGCAUGUAGUCUCCCCCCAUAUGCUGCUCAUGCCAUUCAAGGUGGCCCAACCCAGCAUUCAUUCGCAAAUCCUGUAGUGAAGCCGAGCUGAAGUAUUUUGGGCAGAAAUUUUUGCACCCUCCUGGCUGGCUAGAUUGAGGGAUAUAUGGAUGAUUGCGUGGCAUAUUAGUUGUUUACUAUAUCACAUUCUGCUCUUGAGGAAAUCUAGAUAGUAUGCUAGCAUGUUGCUAAAAUCCAUGUGUUAUUUUCUCAUGAGAAGUUGAUUGUGCUGUUGGUGAGACAUAUGUUAGUUGAGAAGCCUGCUCAGAGUUGUAUAUCAGGUUUCAGGUACAUGACUGUUUGCAUAAAGAGUUUGGGAUAGUUAACAAAUUCUAGCAAGUCGAGAGUGAAGUUUUAUAAGAUUGUUGUUGAUUGAUAACUCCGAAUGAUACUAGUUUCAAUCAAUAAUAUAGAACGAUACAACAUUUUUGGAAUCCAAGGUCCAUGGAAUCUAGGCUGAUAGAUGAAUGCACAAAAUUACUUCGUUUUUUUUUUUUUUUUUUUUUUUGGUACGAGAAUUUGUUAACAUGAACGGGAAGGUGAAAUAUACCAACCUAGUUUGGGAAAAAAAAAAUUGUUGUGUUGGAAUGAGUUUUCAGCCGGAAUACUUCAGACUAGACUCAUUUUGGCUAUUUGAUGUCUGAUGCCUGAAGUAUGCCUUAAAUCUUAUUUUCUAUGUUUCUGAAGACUCAUCUUCCUCUUUACAUGUAUAAAUAAGAAAUUAUGAAUGGUGGAAGCUUUGAGUGGUGGAAAUCCAAAAAGAGUAGGUCCCUUCUGGUAAUCUUGUGAUAUAUUGAUAACUAUAUUAAAAUAAACAUCACUGAAGGGAGAUAUAUAAUAUUUCUUGAAUUGGGGACUUGGAGCAAAGCCAUUUGGCAAGAUAAGUGUAUUUUAAUUUUCUUUAGUGAAUUAGUUCUAUUGAGUGGAUGCAUCUGCUUGUAUAGCAAAUGUGAUUUUUUUUUUCAAAGAUAAUCUUAUGAGAUUUAACGGAACGUAGGUUGUCAAACUUGCAUAUUUUACUGUAACAAUCU